GUGAGGAAUUUUCCGCAAUGGGCGAAAGCCGGACGGAGCAAUGCCGCGUGAAGGAUGAAGGCCUAUGGGUUGUAAACUUCUUUUCUUAGAGAAGAAUAUUGACGGUAUCUGAGGAAUAAGCAUCGGCUAACUCUGUGCCAGCAGCCGCGGUAAGACAGAGGAUGCAAGCGUUAUCCGGAAUGAUUGGGCGUAAAGCGUCUGUAGGUGGCUUCAAAAGUCUCCUGUCAAAGAUCAGGGCUUAACCCUGGGCCGGCAGGAGCAACUCUGAGGCUAGAGUUUGGUAGGGGCAGAGGGAAUUCCCGGUGGAGCGGUGAAAUGCGUAGAGAUCGGGAGGAACACCAAAGGCGAAAGCACUCUGCUGGGCCACAACUGACACUGAGAGACGAAAGCGAGGGGAGCAAAAGGGAUUAGAUACCCUUGUAGUCC
rnacentral:rRNA from 1 species